AGAGCGCAGGGUGGAUGCCUUGGCACUAAGAGCCGAUGAAAGACGCGAUAAGCUGCGAAAAGCCGCGGGGAGGAGCAAAUAUCUGUUGAUCCGCGGAUGUCUGAAUGGGGAAACCCGGCAGAGAAGACCUCUGUCACUGCAUGCUGAAUCCAUAGGCAUGCAGGGGGAACCCGGGGAACUGAAACAUCUAAGUACCCGGAGGAAAAGAAAUCAACCGAGAUUCCCCCAGUAGCGGCGAGCGACCGGGGAGUAGCCGACGAACUUUAGUGUAGAAGAAAGGCAUGGAAAGGCCUACUGUAAAGGGUGAUAGUCCCGUAUUCGAAACACUUUAGUAAGCAUAUUAAGUAGGGCGGAACACGAGAAAUUCUGUCUGAAGAUGGGGGGACCAUCCUCCAAGGCUAAAUACUCCUGACUGACCGAUAGUGAACCAGUACCGUGAGGGAAAGGUGAAAAGCACCCCGACGAGGGGAGUGAAACAGACCCUGAAACCGGAUGCCUACAAGCAGUCGGAGGGCGCAAGCCUGACGGCGUACCUUUUGUAUAAUGGGUCAGCGACUUAUAUUCUGUAGCAAGGUUAACCGAAUAGGGGAGCCGUAGGGAAACCGAGUCUUAAUAGGGCGUUUAGUUGCAGGCAAUAGACCCGAAACCGGGCGAUCUAUCCAUGGCCAGGCUGAAGGUUAGGUAACACUGACUG
rnacentral:rRNA from 1 species